rnacentral:lncRNA from 1 species
AAUUUUUAAAAAGUCAGAAUUAUUUUUAAACAAUUAAAAAUAUGCACAAAAACAUUUAAUUCAUGAAAAAUAUCAAAAUUAAUCCGAUUUUUUUUAAUUUAGAAUGUGAAAGGGAAAAAUAUUUAAAGAUUUUUGGUGAAAGUCCCAUAUUUUUUGGAUUAAAAAUGAAAUUUCUAUGAAUAAAAUAAAAUAAGUGGAUUAAAUGGUAAUUUUAAAAAAAC